rnacentral:rRNA from 1 species
GACGAACGCUGGCGGCGUGCUUAACACAUGCAAGUCGAACGGAAAGGCCCAGCUUGCUGGGUACUCGAGUGGCGAACGGGUGAGUAACACGUGGGUGAUCUGCCCCAAACUUCGGGAUAAGCCUGGGAAACUGGGUCUAAUACCGGAUAUGACCUUCUCCUGCAUGGGGGUUGGUGGAAAGCUUUUGCGGUUUGGGAUGGGCCCGCGGCCUAUCAGCUUGUUGGUGAGGUAAUGGCUCACCAAGGCAUCGACGGGUAGCUGGUCUGAGAGGACGAUCAGCCACACUGGGACUGAGACACGGCCCAGACUCCUACGGGAGGCGGCAGUAGGGAAUCUUGCGCAAUGGGCGAAAGCCUGACGCAGCAAUGCCGCGUGCGGGACGAAGGCCCUAGGGUCGUAAACCGCUUUCAGUAGGGACGAAAAUGACGGUACCUGCAGAAGAAGCUCCGGCCAACUACGUG